GUAGUCUCGCACAGUGCAUAUCAAUAAGGGAGGAAAAGAAACUAACAAGGAUUCCCCUAGUAACGGCGAGUGAAGCGGGAAGAGCUCAAAUUUGAAAUCUUAAAGGGUUUCCCUUUACGAAUUGUAGUUUAAAGAAGUGUUUUCUGUUGAGGUUUUGGUAAAAGUUCUUUGGAAUAGGACAUCAUAGAGGGUGAGAAUCCCGUAUUUGACCUUUACUUUCAACUUUGUGAUACACUUUCAAAGAGUCGGAUUGUUUGGGAAUGCAGUCCAAAAUGGGUGGUAAAUUUCAUCUAAAGCUAAAUAUUGGCGAGAGAUCGAUAGCGAACAAGUACCGUGAGGGAAAGAUGAAAAGAACUUUGAAAAGAGAGUUAAACAGUACGUGAAAUUGUCAAAAGGGAAGCGUUUGACACCAGUGUUGUUUUUCUGAAAAUCAAUUAAAGAACUGUUUAUGCUAAGCUGUUUAGACUUUAUCAGCUAACUGUUUAGUUUUGAGCUUUUCUUUAAUGCACUUUUCAGUUAACAAGUCAACAUCAAUUUCUUUUGCUGUAAAAAAGCUUGAGGAAGGUGGCUUGAGAUUCGUCUUAAGUGUUUAUAGCCUCUUGCCUAUGCAGUCGGAGAGAUUGAGGUCUGCAGCGUAGAUCCUUCGGGGCUAAAUGCAUUUGUGCUAAGUUAUAGCAUUUUAUAGACAACUUGUUGACUAUGAUUUGUCUUGUAGCUUACUCGCUUAUGUUAUUUUACCUACGCUUAGGAUGUUGAACUCUAUCACACACAG
rnacentral:rRNA from 1 species